AAAUGCACCUGGCAGGGGAGAUACCAUGAUCACGAAGGUGGUUUUCCCAGGGCGAGGCUUAUCCAUUGCGCUCUGGAUGUGCUGACCCCAUAUGUGGGAAAGUCGACUGCAUAAUUGGUGGUAGUGGGGGACUGCGUUCACACUUUCCCCUG
rnacentral:snRNA from 1 species